AGUGAACGCUGGCGGUAGGCCUAACACAUGCAAGUCGAACGGCAGCACAGUAAGAGCUUGCUCUUACGGGUGGCGAGUGGCGGACGGGUGAGGAAUACAUCGGAAUCUACUUUUUCGUGGGGGAUAACGUAGGGAAACUUACGCUAAUACCGCAUACGACCUACGGGUGAAAGCAGGGGAUCUUCGGACCUUGCGCGAUUGAAUGAGCCGAUGUGGGAUUAGCUAGUUGGCGGGGUAAAGGCCCACCAAGGCGGCGAUCCGUAGCUGGUCUGAGAGGAUGAUCAGCCGCACUGGAGCUGGGACGCGGUCCAGACUCCUGCGGGAGGCAGCAGUGGGGAAUAUUGGACAAUGGGCGCAAGCCUGAUCCAGCCAUACCGCGUGGGAGAAGAAGGCCUUCGGGUUGUAAAGCCCUUUUGUUGGGAAAGAAAAGCAGCAGGUUAAUACCCCGCUGUUCUGACGGUACCCAAAGAAUAAGCACCGGCUAACUUCGUG
rnacentral:rRNA from 1 species